UACAGAGGGGGCGAGCGUUGUUCGGAAUUACUGGGCGUAAAGGGCGCGUAGGCGGCCAACUAAGUCAGACGUGAAAUCCCUCGGCUCAACCGGGGAACUGCGUCUGAUACUGGAUGGCUUGAAUUCGGGAGAGGGAUGCGGAAUUCCAGGUGUAGCGGUGAAAUGCGUAGAUAUCUGGAGGAACACCGGUGGCGAAGGCGGCAUCCUGGACCGAGAUUGACGCUGAUGGCGCGAAAAGCCAGGGGAGACAAACGGGG
rnacentral:rRNA from 1 species